rnacentral:rRNA from 1 species
GUGGCGGACGGGUGAGUAACGCGUAAAGAACUUGCCUUACAGACUGGGACAACAUUUGGAAACGAAUGCUAAUACCGGAUAUUAUGACUGAGUCGCAUGAUUUGGUUAUGAAAGCUAUAUGCGCUGUGAGAGAGCUUUGCGUCCCAUUAGUUAGUUGGUGAGGUAACGGCUCACCAAGACGAUGAUGGGUAGCCGGCCUGAGAGGGUGAACGGCCACAAGGGGACUGAGACACGGCCCUUACUCCUACGGGAGGCAGCAGUGGGGAAUAUUGGACAAUGGACCAAGAGUCUGAUCCAGCAAUUCUGUGUGCACGAUGAAGUUUUUCGGAAUGUAAAGUGCUUUCAGUUGGGAAGAAGAAAGUGACGGUACCAACAGAAGAAGCGACGGCUAAAUACGUGCCAGCAGCCGCGGUAAUACGUAUGUCGCAAGCGUUAUCCGGAUUUAUUGGGCGUAAAGCGCGUCUAGGCGGCAUAGUAAGUCUGAUGUGAAAAUGCGGGGCUCAACCCCGUAUUGCGUUGGAAACUGCUAAACUAGAGUACUGGAGAGGUAGGCGGAACUACAAGUGUAGAGGUGAAAUUCGUAGAUAUUUGUAGGAAUGCCGAUGGGGAAGCCAGCCUACUGGACAGAUACUGACGCUAAAGCGCGAAAGCGUGGGUAGCAAACAGGAUUA